rnacentral:lncRNA from 10 species
GAACUUUUCAAUGAAAUGCUUCAAAGAGAUUUUGGUGUCCAUAUAAACAAAUCAUUACUGUCUCUUCCUGAGAAAGAGGAAAAAAAGGAAAAGGAUAAGAAAAGCAAAAAGAUGAGAGAAAAUAUUAAAAAAAGAAGAAAGAUGAUGAAACUGAUGAGCCGAAACCCAAACGGAGAAAAUCAGGUGAUGAUAAAGAUAAAAAAGAAGAUAGAGAUGAAAGGAAGAAAGAAGAUAAAAGAAAAGAUGAUUCUAAGGAUGACGAUGAAACUGAAGAAGACAGCAAUCAAGAUGAAUAUGACCCUAUGGAAGCAGAAGAAGCUGAGAUGAAGAGAUGGUAUGAUUGAAAUUUAUUUAUUAUUUCUU